rnacentral:lncRNA from 1 species
CUUUAUGAGCUUUAUAUUCUGUCAAAUGAAUGUGUAGAAUACACUCCUAUGUGGUUAUUUCAUUAAAAAAAAGGAUCUAUGUAAAAUAACCACCUUAUUUGAAAACAUUCAUUACAAAUAUGAUAAAGCAAUUUGUGAUUUGGAACAAGCAUCAAAAGCAUGAUAGAAUAAUUAUUUUAUCAUAUACCUAAUAGACCAGAUUGU